rnacentral:rRNA from 1 species
GAUGAACGCUGGCGGCGUGCCUAAUACAUGCAAGUCGAGCGAACAGACGAGGAGCUUGCUCCUCUGACGUUAGCGGCGGACGGGUGAGUAACACGUGGAUAACCUACCUAUAAGACUGGGAUAACUUCGGGAAACCGGAGCUAAUACCGGAUAAUAUAUUGAACCGCAUGGUUCAAUAGUGAAAGACGGUUUUGCUGUCACUUAUAGAUGGAUCCGCGCCGCAUUAGCUAGUUGGUAAGGUAACGGCUUACCAAGGCAACGAUGCGUAGCCGACCUGAGAGGGGGAUCGCCGACAUGGGAGGGUGGCCACGGUCCAGACGCCUACGGGAGGGAGCAGUAGGGAAUCGUCGGCAAUGGGCGAAAGCCUUGCGGAGCAGGGCCGCGUGAGAGAUAAAGGUCUUCGGUUCGUAAAGCUCUGUUACUGGGGAAGAACAAAUGUGUAAGUAACUAUGCACGUCUUGACGGUACCUAGUCAGAAAGCCACGGCUAACUACGUG